GAUGAACGCUGGCGGCGUGCCUAAUACAUGCAAGUCGAGCGAACAGAUGAGGAGCUUGCUCCUCUGACGUUAGCGGCUGGCAGGGGAGUAACACGUGGGUAACCUACCUAUAAGACUGGGGUAACUUCGGGAAACCGGAGCUAAUACCGGAUAAUAUAUUGAACCGCAUGGUUCAAUAGUGAAAGACGGUUUUGCUGUCACUUAUAGAUGGAUCCGCGCCGCAUGAGCUAGUUGGUAAGGUAACGGCUUACCAAGGCAACGAUGCGUAGCCGACAUGAGAGGGAGAUCCGCCACACUGGAUCUGAGAAACGGUACCGACACCUACGGGAGGAAGCAGUAGGGACUCCUCCGCAAUGCGCGAAAGCCUGACGGAGCAAAGCCGCGUGAGUGAUGAAGGUCUUAGGAUCGUAAAACUCUGUUAUUAGGGAAGAACAAAUGUGUAAGUAACUAUGCACGUAUUGACGGUACCUAAUCAGAAAGCCACGGCUAACUACGUG
rnacentral:rRNA from 1 species